AUGAACGCUAGCUACAGGCUUAACACAUGCAAGUCGAGGGGCAGCAUGGUCUUAGCUUGCUAAGGCCGAUGGCGACCGGCGCACGGGUGAGUAACACGUAUCCAACCUGCCGUCUACUCUUGGACAGCCUUCUGAAAGGAAGAUUAAUACAAGAUGGCAUCAUGAGUCCGCAUGUUCACAUGAUUAAAGGUAUUCCGGUAGACGAUGGGGAUGCGUUCCAUUAGAUAGUAGGCGGGGUAACGGCCCACCUAGUCUUCGAUGGAUAGGGGUUCUGAGAGGAAGGUCCCCCACAUUGGAACUGAGACACGGUCCAAACUCCUACGGGAGGCAGCAGUGAGGAAUAUUGGUCAAUGGGCGAGAGCCUGAACCAGCCAAGUAGCGUGAAGGAUGACUGCCCUAUGGGUUGUAAACUUCUUUUAUAAAGGAAUAAAGUCGGGUAUGGAUACCCGUUUGCAUGUACUUUAUGAAUAAGGAUCGGCUAACUCCGUGCCAGCAGCCGCGGUAAUACGGAGGAUCCGAGCGUUAUCCGGAUUUAUUGGGUUUAAAGGGAGCGUAGAUGGAUGUUUAAGUCAGUUGUGAAAGUUUGCGGCUCAACCGUAAAAUUGCAGUUGAUACUGGAUAUCUUGAGUGCAGUUGAGGCAGGCGGAAUUCGUGGUGUAGCGGUGAAAUGCUUAGAUAUCACGAAGAACUCCGAUUGCGAAGGCAGCCUGCUAAGCUGCAACUGACAUUGAGGCUCGAAAGUGUGGGUAUCAAACAGGAUUAGAUACCCUGGUAGUCCACACGGUAAACGAUGAAUACUCGCUGUUUGCGAUAUACUGCAAGCGGCCAAGCGAAAGCGUUAAGUAUUCCACCUGGGGAGUACGCCGGCAACGGUGAAACUCAAAGGAAUUGACGGGGGCCCGCACAAGCGGAGGAACAUGUGGUUUAAUUCGAUGAUACGCGAGGAACCUUACCCGGGCUUAAAUUGCAGAUGAAUUACGGUGAAAGCCGUAAGCCGCAAGGCAUCUGUGAAGGUGCUGCAUGGUUGUCGUCAGCUCGUGCCGUGAGGUGUCGGCUUAAGUGCCAUAACGGGCGCAACCCUUGUUGUCAGUUACUAACAGGUUCCGCUGAGGACUCUGACAAGACUGCCAUCGUAAGAUGUGAGGAAGGUGGGGAUGACGUCAAAUCAGCACGGCCCUUACGUCCGGGGCUACACACGUGUUACAAUGGGGGGUACAGAGGGCCGCUACCACGCGAGUGGAUGCCAAUCCCCAAAACCUCUCUCAGUUCGGACUGGAGUCUGCAACCCGACUCCACGAAGCUGGAUUCGCUAGUAAUCGCGCAUCAGCCACGGCGCGGUGAAUACGUUCCCGGGCCUUGUACACACCGCCCGUCAAGCCAUGGGAGCCGGGGGUACCUGAAGUGCGUAACCGCGAGGAGCGCCCUAGGGUAAAACUGGUGACUGGGGCU
rnacentral:rRNA from 1 species